CUACUGUUGAAGAGCCCUAAACUGGGACGAAACAGCUGUCCAGUAG
rnacentral:hammerhead_ribozyme from 1 species